ensembl:lncRNA
UUUUUUUUUUUUUUUUUUUUUUUUUUUUAAAUGCAGCCCAGCACACAGUUGGCCUUCCAGGCUGCAGGUGCACACUGCUGGUUCAUGUCCAGCUUCUCAUCCACCAGGACCCCCAGGUCCUUCUCCGCAGGGCUGCUCUCACGGAGAUCUUCCCCCCUGUUUAUAGAAGUACCUGGGAUUGCCCCGACCCAAGUGCAGCACCCUGCACUUGGCCUUAUUGAACCUCAUUAGGUUUUCGUGGGACCACUUCUCCAGCCUGUCCAGGUCCCUCGGGAUGGCUUCCCUUCCUUCCAAUGUAUCGACUGCACCGCUCAGCUUGGUGGACAGAAACCACUCCCCACACCCUUACCUAGAGGCUCAUGGUCCUGGCAGACAUGGGAAGCCUGACCACCCGUGAAGACUGAGGCAAAGCACUCAUUAAGUACCUCAGCUUUUUCUAUGUCUGAGGAAGCCAGCUCCCCAUUACCUUUCAUCGGGGGGAGAACACUCUCCUUGGCCUGUCUUCUCCUGCCUAUGUACCUGUAGAACCCCUUCUUGUUGUCUGUCGCAUCCCGCACCAAGUUCAGCUCCAUCUGCGCCUUGGCUUUCCUAAUCCUAUCUCUACACACACGGACAACAGCCCUGUAUUCCUCCCAGAAUACACAACCCUGCUUCCACUUUCUGUACAUUUCCCUCUUUUCUCUCAAUUUAAGCUGCAGGUCCUUGCACAGCCACGACAGUCGCCUGCCUCCCCUGCUCGACGACUUCUGCUGGGGUAUGGAGAGCCCUUGAGCUCUCGGAAGGGUGUCCUUAAAGAGCUGCCAGCUCUGGUCUGUGCCCAUGCCCUUAAGGACAGUUUCCCAGGGGAUCCCACUCAGCAGUUCCUUGAGCAGACGGAAGUUCGCUUUCCUAAAGCACAGCGUUGUGACUGUGCUUUUUGCCAGGCCCGCAUUCUUCAAGCUCACAAACUCCACCAAGGCAUGGUCACUGCAGCCCAGGUUGCCUGCAAUCUAAACCUCUCCAUCUAUUACCUGGACCAGAAAGUUGUCCUCAACAGACUCCAGGAAUCUCUUGGAUUGUCUGCCACCCACCGUGGCACUAUCCCAGCAGAUAUCCGGGUGGUUGAAAUCCUCCAUCAGGAGGAGAGCCCGCAAGCAUGACACCUCCUGCCGCUGAAGCAAGAAGGCCUCGUCCACAGCCUCUUCCUGAUCAGGUGGCCUGUAACAGACCGCAGCCGCUAGAUGCCCUUUGCUGGACUGAUCCGCAGUUUUUACCCACAAGCUCUCAACCUGAUCAUGGCUGUUCCUCAGACGCAGCUCUUCACAAUCUGUCCACUUCCUAACAUAAGAGGGCAACUCCACCACUCUCCUAACCUGUCUAUCCCUUCUGAAAAGCCUGUAGUCCUCAAUCAGGGUAUUCCAAUCAUGCGAUUCAUCCCACCCUGUUUCCAUGAUAGCAAUUAGGUCAUACUUUCCCAAUUGCACCACAGUUUCUAGCUCCUCCUGUUUAUUUCCCAUGCUGCACGCAUUGAUAUAGAGGGACUUCAGCUUAGCCACUGGCCUCAUUGCCUUCUCAGAGGAGCCCUCCCUAGUACCUCCAGGAUGAGUCUGGGGUUUUCCCUUACCACCUCCCAAGGUGACAGCAUUCCCAGGUGCUUCUCAUGGCUUCAAGCUGCACCAGGGAAGAUUCAGGCUGGACGCUAGGAAAUACUCCUUCUCUGAAAGGGUGGUCAGGUACUGGAAUGGGCUGCCCAGAGAGGUGGUGGAGUCACUGAGCCUGGUAGUGUUCAAAGAGCGUUUCGAUGUUGUGCUGAGGGACAUAGUUUAGCGAGAACCAUUGGUGAAGGGCGAAUGGUUGGACUGGAUGCUCCUGUGGGUCUUUUCCAACCUUAGCAAUUCUAUGAUUUUAUGAUUCUCUGUCACCCAGUAUACCACCUUCCCCCAUCAUACCUAGUUUAAAGCCCUGCUAACCAGCCCUGCCAGCUUAUUUCCAAAAAUAUUUGUGGCCCUUCUAGUCAGUCGGCUCCCAUCCACUGUCAGCCUUCUCCCUUUCUCAAGGCUGCAUCCCAAGCCAUGGUACCCAAAGCCCUGAGCAUGACACCAUUCACAAAGCCAUUCCUUCAACAUGUGCACCCUCCUCCUUUUAUCCAGAUCCCAGUCACCAACUGAGAGGACAGAGGAAAACGCUGCUUGCACGCCAGAUCCCUUCAGAAGUCUUCACAGACCCCUGAAGUCCCUUCUGAUCACCCGAGGACUUCUUUUGCCUAUCUCUUCAUUUCCAAUGUGGAAAGACAGUAGUGGAUAAUAAUCGGAGGGCUUAACCAGGCGAGUGAUGUUCCUAGCAAUGCCCCUCACCCGGGCACCAGGCAGGCAGCACACCUCCCUGCGGGACGGAUCCAAGCAGCAUAUCGGGUCCUCGGUUACCCUCAGAAGGGAGUCCCCUAUGACAACAGCCCUUCUUUUUUUCCUGACUGACACUGUAGCAGAACGGGGAGCAGACUGACCAGCCUUGGGCAACCUCUCCUGCACAGAUGGACUUUCACCAACAUCCACAUCCCCCAGUCCCUCUAGCUCCAGAGCCUCAUACCUGGUAUUGUAAGGGCACCUGGGAAGGUGGGACAGGCUGAGGGGCAGUCCGCUUGUUGCCCCGAGCAGGGACUUGUUUCCAUCCCUCGCUGUCUUUGAGGUCACCCGUUCCCACCUGACUGCGAGACAGCAGAUGAUCCCCCACUGCCUGAAAAGCAUCUCCCCCACACCCUUCCUGUAGGGACGGCCGAGCGCAGCUCCACCGACCAAUCCCCUUCCCACAGUCCCGGAUGCUCCUCAGCCCUUCCACUUCCUCCUUCAGCUCUACCACCAGGCUGGGCAGAUCCUCCACCCGCUCACAGGCGGUAUCCCAGCUGCCCUCCCGUAGCAGCAACAGGGCCGAGCAUUCUGCGCAGCCUGAGACCUGAACUGUGGCACGGACACUCGUGCUUUCAGUCUCUGCAUGCCUUUUAGCAGCAGCUCGCUGCCGUGUGGUGACCGUGGUUGCACCUCGGUGUGCCCGGAGAGCAACGACCUGUUCAGUGCUAAGUGCUAACCGCCCUCCUACAUGGCAAACAUGCUUGCUGAGUCGCUCGGGGUUUGCCCUGAAAAUCACUCUCUUCACAGCGAGACAGCAACCCGCCUCCCUGGGUAGUCGCGCGAAUGGGUACCUUACCGUUUCACCUCGCCCGAACGGCCCCGCGGUUCACA